AUACGGAGGGUGCAAGCGUUACUCGGAAUCACUGGGCGUAAGGCGCGCGCAGGCGGCUAUUUAAGUUGGAUGUGAAAGCCUACGGCUCAACCGUAGAACUGCAUCCAAAACUAUUUAGCUAGAGUGUGGGAGAGGAAGAUGGAAUUAGUUGUGUAGGGGUAAAAUCCGUAGAGAUAACUAGGAAUACCAAAAGCGAAGGCAAUCUUCUGGAACACUACUGACGCUGAGGCGCGAAAGCGUGGGGAGCAAACAGGAUUAGAUACCCUAGUAGUCC
rnacentral:rRNA from 1 species